GACGAACGCUGGCGGCGUGCUUAACACAUGCAAGUCGAACGGUAAGGCCCUUCGGGGUACACGAGUGGCGAACGGGUGAGUAACACGUGGGUGAUCUGCCCUGCACUUCGGGAUAAGCCUGGGAAACUGGGUCCAAUACCGGAUAGGACCACUGCCUGCAUGGGUGGGGGUGGAAAGCUUUUGCGGUGUGGGAUGGGCCCGCGGCCUAUCAGCUUGUUGGUGGGGUGAUGGCCUACCAAGGGGACGGCGGGUAGCCGGCCUGAGAGGGUGACCGGCCACACUGGGACUGAGAUACGGCCCAGACUCCUACGGGAGGCAGCAGUGGGGAAUAUUGCACAAUGGGCGCAAGCCUGAUGCAGCGACGCCGCGUGAGGGAUGACGGCCUUCGGGUUGUAAACCUCUUUCAGCACCGACGAAGCGCAAGUGACGGUAGGUGCAGAAGAAGGACCGGCCAACUACGUGCCAGCCGCCGCCGUAA
rnacentral:rRNA from 1 species